UACGUAGGGGGCAAGCGUUGUCCGGAAUCAUUGGGCGUAAAGAGCGUGUAGGCGGCCCGGUAAGUCCGCUGUGAAAGUCCAGGGCUCAACCCUGGGAUGCCGGUGGAUACUGUCGGGCUCGAGUCCGGAAGAGGAGUGUGGAAUUCCUGGUGUAGCGGUGAAAUGCGCAGAUAUCAGGAGGAACACCGGUGGCGAAGGCGGUUCUCUGGGAAUGACCUGACGCUGAGGAGCGAAAGCUAGGGGAGCAAACGGG
rnacentral:rRNA from 1 species